rnacentral:lncRNA from 12 species
AAGAGUAACAUUGUGUGUUUGAGCGGACGAUCUCCGACUCUCAGCAUCCUUUCAGAUGAAUGAUUGAUUAGUUUAUCAUUUCCACCCAGAGUAAGUGUUGGAGAUCUCACUCUUCUGUCUGUUCAGCUUCAUCAUGGAAGACACACAAACACCCCGAGAGGAAGAGUUUUCUCCAGGAUGCAGUUCAGUUCAUCAGAAGAGAUCCGAACCAGUGCCCAGCUGUGUGUUUAUGAAGAUUGAUGAGUCUAUAGAUCAUCCACAACAUUUCAGUUCAGUUCACCAGAAGAAAUCAGAACCAGAGUCCAGCUGUGUGUCUAUGAGGAGUGACGAAUCUUUGCAUCAUCCAGUUAAUUUUAAGAGUGAUGACACAAGUUCAGUUCACCAGAAGAAAUCAGAACCAGAGUCCAGCUGUGUGUCUAUGAGGAGUGACGAAUCUUUGCAUCAUCCAGUUAAUUUUAAGAGUGAUGACACAAGGUUUAACCUCAAGUAUUGCAUUUUUUGUAAAAGAUAUGAUUAUAGAAAGAUAUUUUCAAUGAAUCAGAUAUAG